rnacentral:misc_RNA from 1 species
AAAGUCGUAACAAGGUUUCCGUAGGUGAACCUGCGGAAGGAUCAUUAAGAGUUUUCUUUUAAUUGAAGAUUAAACGGUUGUUGAAUAUUUGAGAUGAAUUUGGAGAUGUCGGUUAAACUUUCUACUUUGAUAAACCCAACCCUUCUAACUUUGAACGAUUGUUAUCAAACAAAACAUUCAAUACCCUUCACUCCUCAAAAAAGUGAACACAAAAAAGUCGAUACGACUCGCAACAACGGAUAUCUUGGUUCUC